UACGGAGGGGGCUAGCGUUGUUCGGAAUUACUGGGCGUAAAGCGCGCGUAGGCGGAUCUGCAAGUCGGGGGUGAAAUCCCGAGGCUCAACCUCGGAACUGCCUUUGAUACUGUCGAUCUGGAGUAUGGAAGAGGUGAGUGGAAUUCCGAGUGUAGAGGUGAAAUUCGUAGAUAUUCGGAGGAACACCAGUGGCGAAGGCGGCUCACUGGUCCAUUACUGACGCUGAGGUGCGAAAGCGUGGGGAGCAAACAGG
rnacentral:rRNA from 1 species